rnacentral:rRNA from 1 species
UACGAAGGGGGCUAGCGUUGCUCGGAAUGACUGGGCGUAAAGGGCGCGUAGGCGGUUUGGACAGUCAGAUGUGAAAUUCCUGGGCUCAACCUGGGGGCUGCAUUUGAUACGUUCGGACUAGAGUGGGGAAGAGGGUCGUGGAAUUCCCAGUGUAGAGGUGAAAUUCGUAGAUAUUGGGAAGAACACCGGUGGCGAAGGCGGCCAACUGGACCAUCACUGACGCUGAGGCGCGAAAGCGUGGGGAGCGAACAGG